GUUGGUGUAGCUCAGUGGUAGAGUGCAUGUUGUAUUUGCAUGAUGUCCUGUGUUCAAUCCCAAGCUUCAACC